GACGAACGCUGGCGGCGUGCCUAAUACAUGCAAGUAGAACGCUGAAGAGAGGAGCUUACUCUUCUUGGAUGAGUUGCGAACGGGUGAGUAACGCGUAGGUAACCUGCCUUGUAGCGGGGGGUAACUAUUGGAAACGAUAGCUAAUACCGCAUAACAAUGGAUGACACAUGUCAUUUAUUUGAAAGGGGCAAUUGCUCCACUACAAGAUGGACCUGCGUUGUAUUAGCUAGUAGGUGAGGUAAUGGCUCACCUAGGCGACGAUACAUAGCCGACCUGAGAGGGUGGACGGCCACACUGGGACUGGGACACGGCCCAGAAUCCUACGGGAGGCAGCAGUAGGGAAUCUUCGGCAAUGGGGGCAACCCUGACCGAGCAACGCCGCGGGAGUGAAGAAGGUUUUCGGAUCGUAAAGCUCUGUUGUAAGUGAAGAACGGGUGUGAGAGUGGAAAGUUCACACUGUGACGGUAGCUUACCAGAAAGGGACGGCUAACUACGUG
rnacentral:rRNA from 1 species